rnacentral:tRNA from 1 species
GGCUGAUGUAGCUCAGUUGGUAGAGCACUCCCUUGGUAAGGGAGAGGUCACCGGUUCAAUCCCGGUCAUCAGCUCCAG